rnacentral:rRNA from 1 species
GCAAGUCGAGGGGCAGCACGAGUAGCAAUACUUGGUGGCGACCGGCGCACGGGUGCGUAACGCGUAUGCAACCUACCUAUAACUGGAGAAUAGGUCUCGGAAACGGGAAUUAAUACUCCAUAAUAUUCUUAAUCCACAUGGAUUUUGAAUUAAAGCUCCGGCGGUUAUAGAUGGGCAUGCGUGACAUUAGGUAGUUGGUGAGGUAACGGCUCACCAAGCCAACGAUGUCUAGGGGUUCUGAGAGGAUGAUC